CCUUCGGGGUACACGAGUGGCGAACGGGUGAGUAACACGUGGGUGAUCUGCCCUGCACUUCGGGAUAAGCCCGGGAAACUGGGUCUAAUACCGGAUAGGACUGCGCGGUGCAUGCCGUGUGGUGGAAAGAUUUAUCGGUGCAGGAUGGGCCCGCGGCCUAUCAGCUUGUUGGUGGGGUAAUGGCCUACCAAGGCGACGACGGGUAGCCGGCCUGAGAGGGCGACCGGCCACACUGGGACUGAGACACGGCCCAGACUCCUACGGGAGGCAGCAGUGGGGAAUAUUGCACAAUGGGCGCAAGCCUGAUGCAGCGACGCCGCGUGAGGGAUGACGGCCUUCGGGUUGUAAACCUCUUUCAGCAGGGACGAAGCGUGAGUGACGGUACCUGCAGAAGAAGCACCGGCCAACUACGUGCCAGCAGCCGCGGUAAUACGUAGGGUGCAAGCGUUGUCCGGAAUUACUGGGCGUAAAGAGCUCGUAGGCGGUUUGUCGCGUCGUCUGUGAAAACCAGCAGCUCAACUGUUGGCUUGCAGGCGAUACGGGCAGACUUGAGUAUUUCAGGGGAGACUGGAAUUCCUGGUGUAGCGGUGAAAUGCGCAGA
rnacentral:rRNA from 1 species